rnacentral:rRNA from 1 species
AGGUCAAGUGAAGAAGGGCGCACGGUGAAUGCCUUGGCACUGGAAGCCGAUGAAGGACGCGACUAACCGCGAAAGUCUUCGGGGAGCCGUAAGUAGGCUUUGAUCCGGAGGUCUCCGAAUGGGGGAACCCAGCAUGUGCAGACAUGCUAUCCUUAAGUGAAUACAUAGCUUAAGGAGGGAACACGCAGUGAACUGAAACAUCUAAGUAGCUGCAGGAAGAGAAAGAAAUAUCGAUUUCCCAAGUAGCGGCGAGCGAACAGGAAAGAGCCCAAACCGGCAGAUUUAUCUGCCGGGGUUGUAGGACUGAGACAUGGCACUUCAGAGGAUAGCAGAAGCGUUUGGGAAAGCGCGCCAGAGAGGGUGAGAGCCCCGUAAGCGAAAUCCAAAGAAGGCCUAUCAGUAUCCUGAGUAGGGCGGGACACGUGAAAUCCCGUUUGAAUCCGCGAGGACCAUCUCGCAAGGCUAAAUACUAACCAGUGACCGAUAGUGAACCAGUACCGUGAGGGAAAGGUGAAAAGAACCCCGGGAGGGGAGUGAAAGAGAACCUGAAACCGUGUGCCUACAAGUAGUCAGAGCCCGUUAACGGGUAAUGGCGUGCCUUUUGUAGAAUGAACCGGCGAGUUGCGUUAGUCAGCAAGGUUAAGUCAGAAAAGACGGAGCCGUAGCGAAAGCGAGUCUGAAGAGGGCGAGCAGUUGGCUGACGCAGACCCGAAACCAAGUGACCUACCCAUGACCAGGUUGAAGGCGCGGUAAAACGCGCUGGAGGACCGAACCCACGUAAGUUGAAAAUUGCGGGGAUGAGUUGUGGGUAGCGGUGAAAUUCCAAACGAACUUGGAGAUAGCUGGUUCUCUCCGAAAUAGCUUUAGGGCUAGCCUCGCAAAGAGGAUGCUGGAGGUAGAGCUCUGUUUGGACUAGGGGCCCGUCAAGGGUUACUGAAUUCAGAUAAACUGCGAAUUCCAGACAUUUAUGUGCGGGAGUCAGACUGCGAGUGAUAAGAUCCGUAGUCGAAAGGGAAACAGCCCAGAUCACCAGUUAAGGUCCCAAAAUUCAUGCUAAGUGGAAAAGGAUGUGGAGUUGCGCAGACAACUAGGACGUUGGCUCAGAAGCAGCCAUCAUUCAAAGAGUGCGUAAUAGCUCACUAGUCGAGUGACGCCGCGCCGAAAAUUUACCGGGGCUAAGCAUGAUACCGAAACUGUGGAUGUGCAUUUAUGCACGUGGUAGGAGAGCGUUCUAGCGGCGGUGAAGCAUGACCGAGAG